GAUUCGGGAGCUUGUUGAGGACAGAUGAAGUGAAUGUGACUGUCAAAGCCGCCAUAUGUGACAAUCUUCUUCUCAGCAGCAACGACAUCCGUGUUAGAGCCAACAACCAUGUUGGGAUCUACACCUUCCAUAACAUCUGGAUUACCUGCUUUGCCGACACCUACGAUAAUACCAUUCUUGACACCGAUAUCGGCCUUGUAGAUGCCGGUGUAGUCGACGAUUAGAGCAUUUGUCAAGACAAGGUCCAGGCAGUCAAUAUCUGAACGUCCAGAAGCUUGACCCAUACCAUCACGAAU
rnacentral:sRNA from 1 species